GCGUUUCGUCGUGUGGUAAGAAAUCAUCUGCUUUAUCUUCAUCGUGGGUUUUCUUUAGAUUCUUUGGUUAGGCUUUCCCUAAAUGAGAUUUAAUUGUUGUGGUUUUUUGUCUCAGCUGAAGGUUAGGAUCUUCAGUUGAUGAUGAUCGCUGGGUUCGAUCGUUGCUUCUGUGGCUGUGAUGAUUUGAUUAAUUUGAAGCUUAUUAUCGUUAAUUUUUUUGAUGGUGACUUGUGAGAGUUAAUCAUGGUUUUUUUUUUUGGCGGUAUUUCGAAGGAUUGAACGGGAAGGAUACCAGUUUUUGCACUAGAUUCGGUUUGUUUAUGUGGUAAUAUCUGCAUCAUGCCAAUUAUCGGACAAAUUUGACAUCAAAUUUCCUUCAAAAUUAGCCCUGUUUUGGUUAAAAAAUAGCCCCAUUUUGGUUCUUCUUUCUGUUUUUUCUUGCUGUGCUUCUUGUAGAAUGAUGGAUUUCGGGUGGAUGGAGUGGGAAGGAACUCUCUGUUGGAUGGAUGUGAGUGUAAUCUGAAUCUGGAGUUUUUAUUUAAUCCAUAUCUGUGGCUGUUGUUGUUGUUGCGAUUGCUGUAAGCGGUGCUCUGGACUUUCGGUAGUUUCGGUAGGAGGAUUGAUGAGGAAGAUUGAGUUUUUACUAUUGUUGAGUUUGUUAAUUAGUAAUUUCUGGAUCGUUUUUUGUUAUCAAGAUUCGUCUUUUCUUUCUCUGGUUCUUUUGAUGUUCUCGUGGUGGUGUGGCAGAAUCGUAGUUUUCGGUGGGGCUAAAAAAGACUUUCUGGAUGCGCAUAUUAUACUACGACACCGGGAGUUCUUCCCUCGUCCCUUAUUUUGGUUUCCUUUUUUAUUUCCUGAAAAAAGUAACUGGGGAGUCAACUAGUAACUGGCCUUGUCUGUUGUAUUGAUUUAGGGGAGCUUGGAUGCAUGAGGGUCUGGUCAUGUUACCCUGCUAUACUGGUUUGCAAGAUUCCUGAGAAGUUUUCUCUGUCCUUAAUUGUUUUCAGCUGUUUGACUGGGAGUUUUCUGGCUAUAGAUACUGAUUUGCUCUGUGAGACAGCUGUGUUCAUUUUCUGAUCUCCUGCAUUACUUUGUGUUGUGCAAUAUAGGGUUUCAGUGAUUCGGAGUUGUUGUGACAACUGAGCCUUCCUUCCUUGGAUGGUAAACUGUUUUGGAGGGAGUUAUCUUCUUACAAACAAUCUUGUGCUUUUGUCACCUUUUGAUAUCUGCAGACCUUUUUUGCCCAGGACAAACACCAUUGAAAUAGCUUUCAAGCUCUUCAUUCAAUUUGCCUGCACCUAUUUUGCUGCUUCUCCGUCAGAGUUAUCUUUGCCCAUUUGUUCUUUUUAGGCUUUUGAAUUUAUUUUGGUUCCAUGCCUUCUAUAUCUUUGGGAAUGGUUCUCAGAUGCUUAGGAUCAUAUCAAUAGGGCAAGAUUGAUGUAAGUAUUUCUUAGCUUUUAAAUUCUGGUUCUUUUGAUGUGAUCUUAGAAUGAUGGAGUUCUGUGUAUGAAAGUAAAAAGAGCUUUUCCUGGAUGGAUGGAAGCAAAAAGAGCUCUUCUUGGAUGGAUGAAGGGAAGUUUGGAUCGGAGCAUUCUCAUCAUGUUGUUACCUUGCUAUUCGGGCUUAACAAGAUUUUGGAGGACCUCUCUUUCCCUGCUUGUUUUCUGCUGUUUUGUUGAAGUUGAUUAGGACAUUUGUGUAUUUGCUCUGCUUGUUCUCUAAUUUUCUAUAUUACUAGGGCGUUGCAACUCAUUGUUCCAGUGAAGUGAUUCGUGAUUCAAACUUGUCUUUCCAUCCUCAGAACAAGGGCUUGUAAAAUUUUUUGGAGGGAGUUAUUUUCUGACCGAUGCUAAUUGUUCUUUUGUGCUUGAGGAAUUUAGGAGUUUUGACACCUUAUUUAUAAUAUAAUUUGUCUGUGCAUCUUUUUGGUCUGCAGCAUGUCAUGCAGAGUCAACUUUCCUGAUCCACUAUGAAUGAAUAGAACGGGUUGUAACCAAGUGCAUAUCUUUGCUAUUCAACAGUUUAUUUCGGGAAAAACUGUCUAUGAAUGCUUUCAACCUACCCAUUCCAUUCACCUAAGGUUAGCAUUUUUUUGGCUUUUGGAUUUGAUGGACUAGCUUAAUCCAGGCUUUUCUUUGGGGAUGGUUCUGUGCUACUCAGUAUAUAACAGGAAGUAGAUUCCGUCAUCAAACAUUUUUGUAUCGGUGGGGGGUUCCUGGUAUCUUGCUUAGUCAGCUUGAUCUGAAGAAGAGUUAAGGCUAUGCAUAUUGGUUUGAUCGAAUGGUAAAUUGUCGACAGUUUUUAUUUGAGGAUAAUUCUCAUCUUUGUGCCAAGUCUUCUGAUCCAUUCCUUUACUGAGGGUGGUGACUGGGCCUGGGCUUUUGGAUGCCAUUCUUCUUAGAAUUAUGGGAUGCGAUUCUUCUUGGAAUUAUGUAAUGGAUGUGAAUGUGAUCCUUAAUUUUGCUUUCUGCUUUAUUUUUGCAUUGCCCCUAGAUUUGAUUGAACAAGGACUUGACGCUAAUUACUAUGUUUUGUUCUUGGUGAUUUUUCAAGAUUUGUCUUUUCUUCUUCUGGUUUUUCUGAUGUUGUCUUUCAAGAAUAGUGGAUUUCUGGUGUGUGGAGGCUAGAAGAGCUCUUUCUUGGAUGGAUGUGAAUAAAAUCGGGAGAUUUUCUUUUCAACAUGGUCUUUCUUUGUUCUCUUUGUCUGAAAAAAUCACUGGGGCGGUUGGUGAUGGCUUCUGUCUGUUGUCUUGAUUUUAGGGAAGAUUGUUGCAGGAGUGUUGGUAUGUUUAACACCCUGCUAACCGGUUUUGGAUAAGCUCUCUCUUUCCCUACUCUAUUUUUUUUUGGCUGUUUCUUUAAAAAUGAUUUUCUCUACUUGUUCUCUAAUUUACUAUAUCAUUUUGUGUCGAAUCUAGGAUUUUGGUGAUUCAGAGGUGGCCAAAACUUAGAUCUCUGUCCUCAGAUCAAAGGCCAGUACAUUAUUAUAGAGUGGUUUAUCUUCUUACCUAUGCGUAUCAUUCCUCUUUUUUUUGCUUGAGCAUUUUACAGGUUUUAGUACUUUUUGAUGUCUGCAGACUAUUAUAAAUAUAAUCUAAUUUUUUUGUAAAUCUUUUCUUCCAUAGUCCAUUAUGUUUGUAGAAAUGCCUUGUGCAUUAUUUGUUUGGUCAGUAAUUGCUCGGAAGUCUUGUGUUCCUGAUCCUCGAGGAAAAGGUAUCACUGCUUAAUCCCAGCAAUUAAUGGUUGGACACCUUCCGACCUGCCCAUUGAAUUCACAUGCACCCAUUUUGCUGCUUAUCCCAUGCGUUUUCUAUCUCUGGCGAAUGGUUCUCAGGUGCUUAGGAUCUUACCAGUUUGGCGAUUUUGAUAUUCUGAAGUAUUUCUUAGUGCUCAAAUUCUGCCACUGAACAUGUUUUUUCAAGGUAGUUUCUGGUGUUUUGGUGGUUCAUCAUGAUCUCAAGUUUAUGCUUGUUAUAUGAAUGGUGGUGGUGUUAUGGUAGGUGAUCUAAAUUUGUAGGAAGUUGGUACUAUUGGUUCAUUCCAUUGUCAGUCCUCAUCUUUGUGUCAAAUUUCAAAUUUUUGUUGGUUAUUUGUGUUGCUUGCCGAACUCAUAGUCAAAGGGAAGUCUCUGGGAUGUGUGUCUUUGUGAAUAAAUUGGAUGGGUCUGACCAUAGUGUAAAAUCUGGAGGUUUUAUUUGGACCUACAGGUGGUGGUUUUGUUGUUACUCUAGGUGGUGGUGCUAUAGGUGGUGGCUCUGGGCUUCUAGAAGUUUCUCUAUGGUGUUGAUUAGGAAUUGAUCAUGAAGGCCUACACUUUCUUGCAGUUUUGCACUAUGUUGAGUACUUCGUGAAUGGUACUUUUUUUUGUUUUUUGUUUUCAAGAUUGUCUCUUCUUUUCUGGUUCUUUUGGUGUGGUUGUCUUAGAAUGGUGGUGGAGUUCUGCAUGGGCAAAAAGAGCUCUCUUCUCUUGGAUAGAUGGAUGGAUGUGGUAAAUCAGGAGUUCUCUUGUUUGUGCUGUUUGCCUAAAAUUCACUGGUCGUUGUUGGUAACGGCUUCUCUCUGUUGUCUUCAUUUUAGGUUAGCUUGAUCUCUGGAUGGUAGAUUUGUUGCCUGUUUUCUAAUUUCAGUGAAGUUGGUUCAACUUACCUCUCCAUUUUCGGAUCGAGGGCUAGUAAACUUUUUUGGAGGGAGUUAUUUUCUUGCCUAUACUAAUUUAUCUUUUGUGCACGAGGAAUUUAGGGGUUUUGACACUUUAUUUAUAAUUUUUCUGUUAAUCUUUACUUAUUCUGUCUCCAUUAUUUGGUCUGGCAGUAAUUCCUGCAGAGUUGACUCUCCUGAUUCAUGAGAAAUAGAUGGAGGUAUAACCAAGUGUGUGUGUGCGCUUAUUGUCAACUUGUUUAUUUCUAAACCAUCUAUGAAUUGCCUUCUGUCCAUUCAAUUCACCUGAGUUAUUGUACCCAAUUGUUCUUUUCUUGGCUUUCGUAUUUUGAUGGAUUGGCUUAGUCCAGGACUUUUCUUUGGGGAUGGCUCUGCGGUACUUGGUAUCUAAUGGGAAUUAAAUUCUGUCAUCUAACAUGUCUGUAUAGGUAGGGCUUUUUGGUGUUGCUGAUUCAUCAUGGUUUGAAGAAGAAUGAAUGCUACAUUUUUUAGUUCUGAUAAUAUGGUAGAUGAUCUACAAUUUUUAUUUCAUCUUUGUGCCAAGUUCAAGUCUUUGUUUGGCUAUUCAUGUUUUCACUCGCAGAAUUCUGCUGAGGGUGGUGACUGACUAUGGGCUUUUGGAUGUGUUGUUUUUAAGUGUAAUCUGUAAUCUGAAGUUUUGCUUUCUGUAUCAUUGUUGCAUUGCUAUAGGCAGUUGCAUUACUGUUUGUUUCGAUCUUUGUGAUGUUUUAUGAUUUCGUUUCUUCUCUGGUUCUUUUGAUGUCGUCUUUCAAUAAUAGUGGACCUCUGGUGUGCGGAGUGUACAAGAGCUUUCUUUUGGAUGGAUUUGAAUUAAAUCAGGAGUUUUUCUUGCCAACGUGGUCUUUGUUUGUUCUCUUUCCUGGAAAAUUCACUGGGGGUACUUGGUGAUGGUUUCUAUCUGUUGUAUUGAUUUUAGGGAAGCUUGAACCGGGAGUAUUGGCCAUGUUUGGUAUCCUGCUAUUUGGUUUUGGGAUGAGAUCUUGGAUGAGCUUCUCUUUUUCCCUACUUUUUUUUCUAUUUUUUGUUCAUUUUCUUGAAAAAUAAUUUUCUUUCUGUGUGCUUUAAUUUACUAUAUCAUUUUGUGUUGAGGCUAGGCUUCCAGUGACUGGAAGGUGUGGCGAAGACUUAAGGUCUCUAUUGUCAGAUCAAAGGCUACUAUAUUGUUUUGCAGGGGGGUUUUCUUACCUACUCUUACCAUUCCUUUCUGCUUGAUGUCACGGGCUUUGGUACUUCUGAUGUCUAUAAUUUAAAUUUAAUUUAAAAUUUUCAUGAUCCCUUUCUUCCAUAGUCCACUGUGUUUAUGGAAAUACCUUAUGCAUCAAUCAUUCUGGCAGCAAUCACUUUUUUUUUUUUUUGUCAAACUUCAGCUGUAUUAUAUAAUGGCAGCAAUCACUUGGAAGUCCAUGUUCCGAUCCUCAUUUAAGAGAGCAGCGAUUUGCGUAUCACUGCUUAAUCCCAACUGUUAAUUGUGCGGCGACCUGCCCAUUUAAUUCACUUGCACCUAUUUUGCUUCUCCAUUAAUUUGCGAUUAGCUUAAUCCCAGGCACUUUCUUUGGGGAUUGUUUCUUGUAAACUAAUUCUGCCAUUGAACAUGUAUGUAUAGCCGGUUCCUGGUGUUUUGAUGAUUCAUCAUGAUCGGAAAAGUAUUAACAUUAUGCUUGGUAUAUUAAUUAGUUUUGAUGGUAUGUAUAUAAUCUAAAUUUCUGGAUGGUUGGGACUAAUGGACAACUCUGAUAUUGGUUUUCAUCUUGGUGUCGAAUUUUAAGUUGGGUUCUGAUGUCCUGGUACUUCCUUGCAGAAAUCUAGUCCUAGCAAGAGGAUUGUGAAGAAAUAGAGGUCUUCUCUUGGAUGAUGAUAUUCAGAUAUCCAUGAUACUGUGGUUUGAAUCAUGGAAUCUCUCUUCAUGCCAUCCUGUUAUUGUGUUUGUCGAAAACAUCACAUGCCACUGGUACUGGUAUUGUUCAGUCAUGUAAGAACAGAUGCAUACAAUAUCUGUCUUCGUAGUCAUCAACCUACAUGCCCCUGGUACUGGUAUUGUUUGUGAAUUUCAUUUCAUACUUGAAUUUUGGGAUCCCCUGGUACAUAGGUUUAGUAUGCAAUUUUAAAGUGCAUGUAACUGAUUUUUUUUUUUUUUUAAGGAAGUUAUUGGACAAUAUUUGCUUAUGACCUUAACAGCCAUGGUGUGGCAUCAAGGUCCAAUCUAAGAUCUGCAAUAGUUGUAUAUGCAUUGCUGAUUUGGGAGGUGGUUAGAACCAUUUGUAAAUGAUUGACAAAAUGAGAGGAAUCCAAAUGCCUUUUUUUCAACUAUUGAAAAUCAUUAAUUUGUUUGAAGUGCGUACAACUUUGAGGUUGAUUUCGUUGGAUUCUUGAAAUGGAGGAGUUCCAGGGCAACUUGUCAUUUGUUGUGGAUGAUUUACCUGUGCAAGCUUAAGCCCCUUGAAUGUUAUAGAAAAUUAACUGUCGCAUAGUAUUUGUUUCACACACUAGUUGAUCUCCUAUUUGGAUGUUCAUAACUGAUGGUGAUAACAUAGUUGAUUUAUAGGUAAAGUCCUGCAGUUAUCUUUAAGGGUGAGAUUUGGUAUGAAAACAAGUGAAGAAGUGUGGGGUAAUCGUGGUAUAUGUUUGUCGAGUCACUUGAUUUGUGAUACUAGUGGUAAAUUUAAGGUUGUCUAAUGGGAUUCAAGGCCCUCCUCCGUAUGGACACACACACACACACAACCCCCCCCCUCUCUUUCCAAAAAAUAAAACCCAAUAAAAAAAGCAUAUUAUCAAGGAAAGGUGAGAUUUGGUAUGAAAACAAGAUAGUGUGUGGUGAUCGAGGUAUAUGGUUGGUGAAUCGCUUGAUUUGUGAUAUUAGUGGUAAAUAUGUCUAAUGGGAUUCAAGGUGCUCUUCCGUUUGGACACACACACACACCCCACCACCACCAACAACCCCCCCCCCCCCCGCCCCCCCAAAAAAAAAAAAGAAUGCAUAUUGCUAAGGAAAGGUGUGCUAUUCAUACAGCUCUCUGGGAUAGAUUGCUGCAGAUGACGAAUGAUUAUUGAUGCAUAAGUUGUUUUGCUAUUUGUGUUAAAACUGAUUAAUUGAGAUUGCUGGGAGACGUUUGUAGCUUGCCUAUUGGUGGGGAUAGCUAAGUGAUUCCCUCGGCCUGUUGGUCUUCUUGACUGCGCUGCAUAAGAGUUGGAAUUUUUUUUUGUUUUGUUGGAGAUGCAUCUGUGGCAGCACUUUCUUGUCUGUGGUUCUUGAUUGUGGCUUGCUUGUAUGCUUGUUUUGUUUUGGUUGGUAGGAUGUUUGUAAUUCUGCCUGUCACAUCAGACAGCCGGCCCCAAGCCUGUCAAAAAGAGGAGGGAAAGCCUGAUCUUGUGUGAGAUAGUUAUUGGUCAUUACUAAAUAUGGUUCUUCCAAGUCUUCCUAAUGGAUCACAAUGUCUUGCUAUUUUGUGAUCUGGGAAAUACUUGCUGAUGUUCUUUCCUGUAAGGAUGUAUUUUUCUCCUCUUUUCAUUUGGUGGAUUUGUGGAUGGCUGGGGCUCCAUUCCUCCUCUUUUCAAUGGCUUUGUUUUAUUGGUCCGUUAUCUCGCUAGAUUGGUUAUUUUUGAAAGGCUUAGGUGAGGCAAGAACUUGAAGCAAUGGCUUGUGUUGUUUUAUUUGGGGAAGUGAAAACCAUUUUUAACUCCAAAUCCUGUAUGGUGACAUAUAGUUUAGUUUCUAAUGCAAAUUACUGUUUGUUUUUAGUCGAAACAAUUUCUUCUUGGAUGGUUCUUGAAGAUCUAUAUGGAUGCGAAUGCCUUUUUAAACAUCUUAUCUUCCAUUUCAUGCUUUUAUCUGAUCGUGUAAAGAUGUUGGAUUCUGUCUAAAUUCUAUAGAACGACCCCAAACGAAAGUCUAAAUUCUACAGAGCGACCCCAAAAGAAAGUGGACGAAUGUUGUACGAAUUGCUGAUGUUGUACUAAUCCCCAACCAGAGAAAUAUUUGGUGUAAACUAUUUGGGGAGUUUUUAAAUUAUUUUAGUUAUUUACUUGUAGUCCAUGAUAUUUUAUAUAUUGAAUCGGCUCGUCACAAUUGAGAGCGUCAAAUUUAACGUUUGAAAUGGAUCAAUGGAGUAAAAAUUGGAUCCACUUGAUUUUGAGGAAUCAAAUUCAAAUUUGAAAUAUAUUAUUGAUCAAAAUUUGACGUGGGGCACAAAGGUGCAUGUAAUGUCCAACUAUUGUUGGGAGGUGAGAAAAAUUUAUGCACCACCACUUGAAAAUUGAAAUUUGUCAUCAAGAUUUGUUGUGCUCUAUUUUUUAUUGGUUAGAAUGAGUCUCGGUGGUUACAGAACGAAAUAAAACAAAGGAAAAGAUUGGCCGACAGUCUUUUUCUUGGUUUCAUGACAUCAUAAUGGUUGUAGGCACUUUUUUUUUUUUAGAUCCGAAAUGAAACUCAUUGCGUUAUAAGUUACAAUGUUCUAGUUUCGCGCGCCAGUACAUGAGCUUUCGUUCCUAGUGUUCUCUCAACCUUAACAGUCUGGACUGCAAAAACUUUCGUUACUAGUGUUCUCUCAAUCUUAACAGUCUGGACUGCAAAAAAGAACUGGCCAGUACAUAAAAUGUCUUCGAUUAUUGAGCGAACCUGUGGCGGACAAUUGUCUGGUUUAGCUAGAGCGUGAAGUAGCAAGAGAAUCACUUCUAACAAGAACAGAUUGCCAGGAAACGGUGCACAGGUUCCUGAGAGCCGACAAACAUGGUAGAGCCUCAGUCUGCAAAGCUGUCAAUGCAUGAACUUGAGUGGAGUGCUGAAAAAUCACAUUGCCAGUUCUAUCUUCAACCACCCAUGCUAUGGCUGCCUUAUGUAUCUGAGUCGUUGCUUUAAAUGAGCCGUCAAUGGUUAGUACCAGCUGACAGUUGUGAUGAUUUGUCUGUAGUCCAUCAAAAAAUAGCUCUAGAUUCCUUAUAUUGACUGGCUUCUUGCAAGCGUUAAAGUUUGAA